rnacentral:tRNA from 1 species
GGGGUUGUGGCUCAGCGGUAGAGCACUUGCCUAGUAUGUAUGAGACACUGGGUUCGAUUCUCAGCACUACA